rnacentral:rRNA from 1 species
UCAAAUUUUAUUUAUUAAUUUUAUAAAUUUUAUUUAUUAAAAUAUUAAAAAUAAUUAUAUAAAAUAUAGUUUUAGUAUUGUUUAAAGAAAAAAUAAAUUUAAUUAUAGUUAAAUAGUAUUGUAAAAGAAAAUUGAAAUAUUUGAAAAAUUAUUGUUUUAAAAGAAAAUUUAAUUUAUUGUACCUUGUGUAUCAGUGUUUAUUAAAUAAAAAAUAUAUAAUUUAUUUUUCUCGAUUUUAAAAGAGUUAAUAUAAUAUAAAAUUUAAUGUGAUAAAAUUAUUUUAAAUAUUAUAUUAGAAAUGAAAUGUUAUUCGUUUUUAAAGGUAUCUAGUUUUUUAAGAAAUAAAUUUAAUUUAUAAAUUAUAAAUUUAUUAAAUUAUUUUUUUAAUUUAAUAAUUUAUAAUUUAAAUAUUUUAUGGGAUAAGCUAUAAAAUAAAUUUUUAUAAAUAAAUAAAUAUUAUAAAAAAUAUAUGCUUAGAAUUAGCAAAUAUUAAUAAAUAUGUUAUAAUUUAUUUUAAUAUAUAAAUUAUUUAUUAUAUUUUAAAUUUUUAUUAAAAUUUUAAUUUUAAUAUAAAAAAUUAAUUAAUAAUGAUAAAAUUAGUAUAAUUAUAUUGUAAAUAUAAAUUUUAAUGAUAAGUUUUAAUAAAG